rnacentral:tRNA from 1 species
GCGGCUGUGGCGGAACUGGUAGACGCGCAGGCUUCAGGUGCCUGUGUCCUUCGGGACGUGGAGGUUCGACUCCUCUCAGCCGCA